rfam:Trypanosoma theileri isolate Edinburgh TM35_Tth_6_V1, whole genome shotgun sequence.
GAAUGUGUUCUUAUGGGGGAAANUGCACCAUGUCCCUUCCGAUUUGUGAAGUUAAGCGGCCACAGGCCUCGUCAGUACGGCGAUCAGUGAUGGCGCUGGAACCCGGGGUGCCGUACCCA